GACGAACCGAGCGAACGUUAUUCGGAAUCACUGGGCUUAAAGGGCGCGUAGGCGGGUCGGCAAGUCAGGGGUGAAAGCCCCCAGCUCAACUGGGGAAGUGCCUUUGAUACUGCCGAUCUCGAGGGAGGUAGGGGCGUGCGGAACUUCCGGUGGAGCGGUGAAAUGCGUAGAUAUCGGAAGGAACACCGGUGGCGAAAGCGGCGCGCUGGACCUCUUCUGACGCUGAGGCGCGAAAGCCAGGGGAGCAAACAGG
rnacentral:rRNA from 1 species